rnacentral:rRNA from 1 species
UCGCACCUACCGAUUGGAUGGUCCGGUGAGAAUUUCGGAUUGUGGUAUUGUUUCUUUAAUUAGAAUCGAUGCCGUGAGAAUUUAUUCAAACCUUACCAUCUAGAGGAAGGUG